rnacentral:rRNA from 1 species
GAUGAACGCUAGCUACAGGCUUAACACAUGCAAGUCGAGGGGCAUCAUGGAGGCAGCUUGCUGUCUCUGAUGGCGACCGGCGAAUGGGUGAGUAACGCGUAUCCAACCUUCCCCUUACUAGAGGAUAGCCCGGCGAAAGUCGGAUUAAUACUCUAUGUUCUCCUUAGCAGGCAUCUAACGAGGAGCAAAGAUUCAUCGGUAAGGGAUGGGGAUGCGUCUGAUUAGCUUGCCGGCGGGGUAACGGCCCACCGGGGCAACGAUCAGUAGGGGUUCUGAGAGGAAGGUCCCCCACAUUGGUACUGAGACACGGACCAAACUCC